CAGGUGACGUGUUACCGUGCCUUGGCCUCGGCGUGGGUUUCUCUGGCUCGAAUGAGGGCGGUGGGGAACGGUGUGUUUCCUGGGGAGCAGGGCCGUCCCCUGGCGGAGCUGUGCUGAGCGCGGGCUCCUUACUCCCCUCACCAGUUCCAUCAGAAGAAGAAGCGGCUGCGGACGAGGAAGGAGAGGAACGAGCUGCGUCAGAAAUACGCCUCGAGCCAGGGGCUGACGUGCCAAGACAAGACCCCGGUAAGGAACACGCCAGAUGGGGCGCACCACGGAGCUGCCUCCUCCCUGGGACAGCGAGGCAGGGGCCUGCAAAUGGACGAGUCCUCCAUGGCAGCGGCUGGCACGACGGGCCGGCCAUGGCUGGCUCUCCGGCUGGUGGAAGGGUGUUGUGGGAGCAUUUCUGCAUGUGCCCCUGUUCAGCCUCCUGCCCUGCGGGGAGGGAGGAACAGCCUGCAGGGAGACAGAGGCCUUGUCCACAUACACACAUCGCAGAGCGACUCAUGCCCUGGCCACGGUGGUGGGCUCCAUGCCCUGGGACCCUCCCAGUGCGUGUGGUUCCUCCCUUGGCGAAGCGCCCUGGCUCAUGCUCGCUCUGCCAGCGGCUGGCAGAGGGGCCGUGGGAGGAGAGGGUUGCUUUGCUUGCUUUCGGAAAUGCCCCUCUGGGUCUCCUUGCAGGUGGCGGGGGAGAGAAGGUUGGGGAGCCCCACCUGCCGGACCCACCAGCCUGUCAGCGCGGCGGCUCUGUGCACGGAGGACAGCUCUGGCAAACAGGGCAAGACUCCAGAAGCUGGCCUCGUUUCAGAUCUGCAGAGGAGAGAACCUAACGCCAGCCAGGAGGAGCAACCAGGUCUGGGUGCAAAGUGGUCUUGGCACACGUCGCAUGGUAGAAAGGGUGUGUGUGUGCGUAAUUAGGGAGUAACAGGAACUGGUCCAUAAUUAAAGCUGCUACCAAGUUUCCAUUAUAAACUCAGAUUUGUCACCCCACCUAAAACCCACAAACCAAAGAAAUUGCAGGCUCAGAAUUGGGAGGCUAGUUCUGGGGCAGAGGUCGAAUUUCU
rnacentral:lncRNA from 1 species